rnacentral:rRNA from 1 species
GAUGAACGCUGGCGGCGUGCCUAAUACAUGCAAGUCGAGCGAACUGACGAGAAGCUUGCUUCUCUGAUGUUAGCGGCGGACGGGUGAGUAACACGUGGAUAACCUACCUAUAAGACUGGGAUAACUUCGGGAAACCGGAGAUAAUACCGGAUAAUAUUUUGAACCGCAUGGUUCAAAAGUGAAAGACGGUCUUGCUGUCACUUAUAGAUGGAUCCGCGCUGCAUUAGCUAGUUGGUAAGGUAACGGCUUACCAAGGCAACGAUGCAUAGCCGACCUGAGAGGGUGAUCGGCCACACUGGAACUGAGACACGGUCCAGACUCCUACGGGAGGCAGCAGGAGGGAAUCUUCCGCAAUGGGCGAAAGCCUGACGGAGCAACGCCGCGGGAGUGAUGAAGGUCUUCGGAUCGUAAAACUCUGUUAUUAGGGAAGAACAUAUGUGUAAGUAACUGUGCACAUCUGGACGGUACCAAAGCAGAAAGCCACGGCUAACUACGG